UACGACGGGGGCUAGCGUUGCUCGGAAUCACUGGGCGUAAAGGGUGCGUAGGCGGGUCUUUAAGUCAGGGGUGAAAUCCUGGAGCUCAACUCCAGAACUGCCUUUGAUACUGAAGAUCUUGAGUUCGGGAGAGGUGAGUGGAACUGCGAGUGUAGAGGUGAAAUUCGUAGAUAUUCGCAAGAACACCAGUGGCGAAGGCGGCUCACUGGCCCGAUACUGACGCUGAGGCACGAAAGCGUGGGGAGCAAACAGG
rnacentral:rRNA from 1 species